ensembl:lncRNA
GGUUAGUUGUCCAAUGAAGAAUAAAGAAUGGGGCUUCCCUGGUGGCUCAGAUGGUAAAGAAUCUGCCUGCAAUGAAGAAGACACAGGUUCGAUCCCUGGGUCGGGAAGAUCCCCUGGAGAAGAAACCGUUGCACUGGAAUCCAUCUUGGCUAAAAGGUGUGCAAGCAGGAGGAGAGGACCCUGAGGUGGAUCAGACAUGGACUCAGAGCUAGACAAGGCAAGAUGACUGGCCAGAGGGAACCCAGAACCGACCCACCUGCAGGUUACCCAGCAUGGGAGGAAGCCCAUCCAAGCUGGAAGAAACACCUCUGGAUGUAUGCAUAAGAACUGGGAACUUUUUAAAAUAGAAACACUUUCAAACUGUGGUGUUGGAGAAGACUCUUGAGAGUCUCCUGGAGAGCAAGGAGAUUAAAUCAGUCCAUCCUAAAGGAAAUCAAGCCUGAAUAUUCAUUGGGAAGAUUGAUGCUGAAGCUGAAACUCCAAUACUUUGGCCCCCUGAUGUGAAGAACUGACUCAUUGGAAAAGACCCUGAUGCUGGGAAAGAUUGAGGGCUGGAAGAGAAGGGGACAACAGAGGCUGAGAUGGUUGGAGGGUAUCAUUGACUCAGUGAACAUGAGUUUGAGCAAGCUCUGGGACAUAGUGAAGGACAGGGAAACCUGGGGUGCUGCAAUCCAUGGGGUCACAAAGAGCUGGACACCACUGAGCGACUGGACAAAAACAAAGGAGGGAAAACAAAUUCUACUGCAACACUGCUUGGGUCUCUGUUCAACAAUGAAGAAAAAUGACAGGAGAAUAGCUCUCUAAAUUACAGCACCAUUCUGCAAUUGGGUCUUUAUUGCCCAAAGAUAGGAUAGUGGACUGAGAUUCCCUAUGUUGAAGUCCUCAUGGCCCUUUGCCAAGAUUCUGCCCCAACUCUUGUAAUCAAAAGCCCAAGGGACCAGAAAACUCUCUUGAGAUGAUCUCCUUCUAAUUCCCCCGACUCCUGAGGGGGAACUGAGCUCCCCGUACUCCUGACAGCACCCCUCCUUCUUCAGAGCACUCACUCUCUGGGCUCACCCACCUCCCUGGAUCCCUCUGACCCAUCCACAACUCCACGUCCCUAUGUCUCUCCCUGAUUCUCUCUUCCUCCUCAGCAUGGUCUUGAUUAUUAAAUACCCCAAAGGCCACCUCUAGGAGUGUGG